CCCGCGCUCAACUGCUGUGCCACCAGGGAGGCCCAUAGUGUCCUACAUCUUGAUUUAGGAUAAGCUCCAGGACAGAAGACAGAAAGAUGCAAGGAGAGUUGAGGUCGUCACAAAACUUUUCUGCAGCAUCAGCUAAAAUCUAAGGGUUCAACAAAGUACUAAAGAAGUAUCUACAUAUUACUGCUUCUCUGACUCAGGACACCUUUCUUAUGAAAGUCAACAUUAGAGCAAAACAUAGAAUAAAAGGCUGCUCUGCCUUCCACCAGUUCUGCUCCCUUAACAUGCGUCCUCAGCCUCCGAAAUUCUUCAAUCUGUAGCUGGGAUAUGGUUAAAGGAUAUCGGAAUAAUAUCCAGGUAACGCCUUCACUGCAAGGUGGAAUGGUAAGAGAGCCUUCAUACACCCAAUAAUCCCGCAGCAAAGGAUCUGGUAAUAAAGUGUUAGGAUUAAAGCAAGGUAUUGUUUUGGACUUCCCCUUAUACUGUAUAUCCCGGAGAAUUUCAGUCACAGCCUUUAGGCCCACAUGCUCUUUUCCUAUCUGAACAAACAAAGCGAUGAUGGCGAUUCCAUGUGGCUUCCCCACAGCCUCAUCAAUGCUUC